GGACGCAUAGCUCAGUUGGUUAGAGCACUACGUUGACAUCGUAGGGGUCACAGGUUCGAGUCCUGUUGUGUCCA
rfam:Oscillatoriales cyanobacterium TSR001 contig_4, whole genome shotgun sequence.